rnacentral:tRNA from 1 species
GCCGCCGUAGCUCAGGGGCAGAGCGCACCAUUGGUAAUGGUGAGGCCGUAAGUUCGAUUCUUACCGGCGGCACCA